CCACACUAGUUGCAUAGUAGCCAGGGCAAAACCAAGAUAGCAGAGAAUAUGGGUGGUAUUUUGGUGAAUAAUGUGAAAUUUUAGCCUUAAUUGUCUAAAUUCCAAACCCAGUGAGACUGCUCAUCGUCUUCUUCAGCGGGAUUAGACUUCGGCUCUGCCUUCUACAGUUCUACUGAAACAAAACUUUGGCCAAAAACCUUUUGGUGAAAAAGAUGAUUUUAUCUUCAAAAUUCACGAAAAUGACUCACAUCUUAACUAGAAAAUGAAAAAAAAAAAAAAAAGAAGAAAACUUCAGAGUAAGCCCCAAAUUUCAAUAUACUUAAAAAUCAAAGUGUUCCAUAAACUUCUACUUGUUAUCUUGGAAUUCUGCCUGCAGGGAACUUGUACUCGGCACAAAUGGAUGCUGUAAUGCUCUUCUUAUUCUCAGUAGAAAAUAAAUAUGCAGCUAAAGAGACCCUCUUAGAGUAUGAAGAGCAAUCUGCUGAAGGUUCUCUCUUUUUAUUAAGCUCUCUUUGCUGCAUUGUUGGUUUUUACUCACAAUUUUUGCUUUCAUUUAAUGGACCUUUUUCUUUUAUAAAAGUUUGUCCUUCAGUCUACAUCAAUUAUAUAGAUACAAUAUUACAAGCAGGAAAUAAGUAAUGUCAGGAGGGAAGUUCAGAAAGGACACAUCAAAGUUGAUACUUGUGCUUAAUGCCAUCUCUCAUGUAAAAGCUAAUUUUACUGAAGAUUUGAAGGAUUGCCAGGGGAUACUAGGUAUGGAGCUCAAGUUGAGGAACGUGUGGACACAAAUAUAUUUGAUGCCCUCUUCCGGAUUUUGCAGACAGAAGGCUGUGCAGGGCUUUUAAGGGAAUUGUUCCGUCAAUAGUCAAAGCCGCACCAGUUUUUUUUUUUAUCGCAGCAAUAACAUUUGUAUAAUCUAUUCUAACCUAGUCUAAGGGGAGGGGAAGCCAACGAGAUUUUUCCGUCGAAGGAAACCACACUUAUAUGACAGUCACAAUUAAGUAGCAAGAUGAAUGGCAAGGGUUAAAUCCUUGACCUUUCACUCCUACCAAGACUUAAAUGUCUUAGCUGUACCAACUGUCCAAGAGGCUGUUGGCAAAAAGCCGCACCUGCUGGUGCUGUAACUUUUGUUGCGUAUGAAUUCAUGUCAGACUUGUUUAAGUCCGUUUUGACUUGAAAUUAUACCGAUUCUUCAAUUUCAUUUUC